rnacentral:lncRNA from 1 species
GUGUGCGUGUGAUCGAGCAGGAGAAAAGGGGAAGGGGUGUAAACCCUAACCCACAUGAAAUCAUCAAAUUGGAAAAGGAUUUGAGGGUUAAUUGGAUGCAUGAACCAAGAUUUAUGAUCACUCAAGCGUUCUUGACACCAAGAUAGGAAUCCCAAAUUGACAUGGACUCAAGUAUGGAAAGCUAACGGGUCAAGCGGAGGUGAGGAAGCAAGCAUGAACACUAACACUUAAGAUAUGUAGGUGCGUAUGAUCAGACGUAUGAAUAUAUGAAUGCACGAAGUAGGAUUUAUCGUCUAUGAAAAGAAUGGGACAGGAAUGAGAACGUCAGACUCUUGUAGAAUUGAAGCCGAACCUUGAAGCCGAACUCGGAACAAAGGAAUCCGAGAGGAUAGUCGAAUGAAUCAAAGUUUAUGUUGUCGAAUGUUAUAUGAUUUUUAAUUUGCAUCAGAUUAUUGUUGUAUGACGUUGUCAAUGACUAAUGGUUAAGUUGUAUGUGUCGUCCACAGGUACUACACGGAUUUCUUCUGCUGCUAAGGAAGCGAAGCGGACGUAGAUCGAGUCAAGAGCAAGGAUUGUACGGAUAGAUCGGUCACAUAGUUGAAGUAUAUAAUGUCUAGAAAUCUAAAUUUUAGUAUGAAUGUUGUGAAUUCUUUUAUAGAACGUUUAACAUUUUUAGAAUUUGGAACCUUCGUGAAAGUAAUGUCGUUAAUAAGGAAAGAAAUUUUAAAGCUCUU